UGGGGAAUAUUGGACAAGGGGCGCAAGCCUGAUCCAGCCAUGCCGCGUGAGUGAUGAAGGCCCUAGGGUUGUAAAGCUCUUUCACCGGUGAAGAUAAUGACGGUAACCGGAGAAGAAGCCCCGGCUAACUUCGUCCCAGUAGCCGCGGUAAUACGAAGGGGGCUAGCGUUGUUCGGAUUUACUGGGCGCAAAGCGCACGUAGGCGGACUUUUAAGUCAGGGGUGAGAUCCCAGGGCUCAACCCCGGAACUGCCUUUGAUACUGGAGGUGUUGAGUAUGGUAGAGGUGAGUGGAAUUCCGAGUGUAGAGGUGAAAUACGUAGAUAUUCGGAGGAACACCAGUGGCGAAGGCGGCUCACUGGACCAUUACUGACGCUGAGGUGCGCAAGCGUGGGGAGCAAACAGG
rnacentral:rRNA from 1 species